AACGAACGCUGGCGGCAUGCCUAACACAUGCAAGUCGAACGAGACCUUCGGGUCUAGUGGCGCACGGGUGCGUAACGCGUGGGAACCUGCCCUUAGGUUCGGAAUAACUCCCCGAAAGGGGUGCUAAUACCGGAUAAUGUCUUCGGACCAAAGAUUUAUCGCCUUUGGAUGGGCCCGCGUUGGAUUAGCUAGUUGGUAGGGUAAAAGCCUACCAAGGCGACGAUCCAUAGCUGGUCUGAGAGGAUGAUCAGCCACACUGGGACUGAGACACGGCCCAGACAACCCCCGGAGCAAGCGGGGGGGCAGAUGGAGAAAGGGCCAUAGGCUGAACAAUCCAGUGCCGCGUGGAUGAAAAAGCCCUGAGGGUGAAAAAACUCUUUGCCAAGGUCGGUGAAUGACAGCGCGGGAAGAAUAGCACCGCACAAGCCCCGUC
rnacentral:rRNA from 1 species